CGGCAUAACCAGGUUAUCGCUUCCCUUUGGGGAGGAGGAAAGUCCGGACAGCACAGAGCAAUGCACCGGUGAAGAGCCGGGUCCCGGUAAAACGGGAACAGAUAGUGCCACAGAAAAUUACCGUCCGCCUCUGGUGGAUAAGGGUGAAAACGUGAGGUAAGAGCUCACGGAUCCUGUUGGCAACAACAGGGUAGGGUAAACCUUGCAUGCUGAAAUGCCACAUAGGUCAGCGAUUGAGGGCGGCUCGCCCGAUGCUGAUGGGUAGGCAGAUUGAUCCCGCAGGGUAACCCGCGGGACAGAUAAAUGAUAACCCUCGACAGAAUCCGGCUUAUCGGUUUUUUUUAGCU
rnacentral:RNase_P_RNA from 1 species